rnacentral:snRNA from 8 species
CUUUCGCCUUUUACUAAAGACUUCCGUGGAGAGGAACACUUACGAGUUCAACGUAUUUUUGGAAGGGCUUUGCUUCUGGCAGAGCC